rnacentral:rRNA from 1 species
AGUCGAGCGGACAGAUGGGAGCUUGCUCCCUGAUGUUAGCGGCGGACGGGUGAGUAACACGUGGGUAACCUGCCUGUAAGACUGGGAUAACUCCGGGAAACCGGGGCUAAUACCGGAUGCUUGUUUGAACCGCAUGGUUCAAACAUAAAAGGUGGCUUCGGCUACCACUUACAGAUGGACCCGCGGCGCAUUAGCUAGUUGGUGAGGUAACGGCUCACCAAGGCGACGAUGCGUAGCCGACCUGAGAGGGUGAUCGGCCACACUGGGACUGAGACACGGCCCAGACUCCUACGGGAGGCAGCAGUAGGGAAUCUUCCGCAAUGGACGAAAGUCUGACGGAGCAACGCCGCGUGAGUGAUGAAGGUUUUCGGAUCGUAAAGCUCUGUUGUUAGGGAAGAACAAGUGCCGUUCAAAUAGGGCGGCACCUUGACGGUACCUAACCAGAAAGCCACGGCUAACUACGUGCCAGCAGCCGCGGUAAUACGUAGGUGGCAAGCGUUGUCCGGAAUUAUUGGGCGUAAAGGGCUCGCAGGCGGUUUCUUAAGUCUGAUGUGAAAGCCCCCGGCUCAACCGGGGAGGGUCAUUGGAAACUGGGGGAACUUGAGUGCAGAAGAGGAGAGUGGAAUUCCACGUGUAGCGGUGAAAUGCGUAGAGAUGUGGAGGAACACCAGUGGCGAAGGCGACUCUCUGGUCUGUAACUGACGCUG